CCUACGGUAGGCUGCAGUGAGGAAUAUUGGUCAAUGGGCGCGAGCCUGAACCAGCCAAGUCGCGUGAGGGAUGACUGCCCUACGGGUUGUAAACCUCUUUUGCCGGGGAGCAACGGGCGCCACGUGUGGCACCACUUAUAGUACCCGGAGAAAAAGCAUCGGCUAACUCCGUGCCAGCAGCCGCGUUAAUACGGAGGAUGCGAGCGUUACCUGGAUUUAUUGGGUUUAAAGGGAGCGUAGAUGGGUUGUUAAGUCAGUUGUGAAAGUUUGCGGCUCAACCGUAAAAUUGCAUGUGAUACUGGCAGUCUUGAGUACAGUUGAGGUAGGCGGAAUUCGUGGUGUAGCGGUGAAAUGCUUAGAUAUCACGAAGAACUCCGAUUGCGAAGGCAGCUUACUAAACUGCCACUGACAUUGAUGCUCGAAAGUGUGGGUAUCAAACAGGAUUAGAUACCCGUGUAGUC
rnacentral:rRNA from 1 species